rnacentral:misc_RNA from 1 species
GAUGAAGAACGCAGCGAAAUGCGAUACGUAAUGUGAAUUGCAGAAUUCAGUGAAUCAUCGAAUCUUUGAACGCAUAUUGCGCUCUCUGGUAUUCCGGAGAGCAUGCUUGUUUGAGUAUCAGUAAACACCUCAACUCCCUUUUCUUUUUUGAAAUGGGAGCUGGACUUGAGUGAUCCCAACACUUUUCUCACUGGAAAGUGGCGGGUCACUUGAAAUGCAGGUGCAGCUGGACUUUUCUCUGAGCUAUAAGCAUAUCUAUUUAGUCUGCCUAAAAAACAGAUUAUUACCUUUGCUGCAGCUAACAUAAAGGAGAUGAGUUCUUGUGCUGACUGAUGCAGGAUUCACAGAGACAGCUUUGCGGCUGACUUUGUAAACUCGAUCUCGAAUCAAGUAAGACUACCCGCUGAACUUAAGCAUAUCAAUAAGCGGAGGA